CAGAUCCGGUCUUGCUGGAUGCUGACGAGCGGCGGACGGGUGAGUAAUGCAUAGGAAUCUGCCCGAUAGUGGGGGAUAACCUGGGGAAACCCAGGCUAAUACCGCAUACGUCCUACGGGAGAAAGGGGGCUCCGGCUCCCGCUAUGGGAUGAGCCUAUGUCGGAUUAGCUAGUUGGUGAGGUAACGGCUCACCAAGGCCACGAUCCGUAGCUGGUCUGAGAGGAUGAUCAGCCACAUCGGGACUGAGACACGGCCCGAACUCCUACGGGAGGCAGCAGUGGGGAAUAUUGGACAAUGGGGGAAACCCUGAUCCAGCCAUGCCGCGUGUGUGAAGAAGGCCCUCGGGUUGUAAAGCACUUUCAGCGAGGAAGAACGCCUAGCGGUUAAUACCCGCUAGGAAAGACAUCACUCGCAGAAGAAGCACCGGCUAACUCCGUGCCAGCAGCCGCGGUAAUACGGAGGGUGCAAGCGUUAAUCGGAAUUACUGGGCGUAAAGCGCGCGUAGGUGGCUUGAUAAGCCGGUUGUGAAAGCCCCGGGCUCAACCUGGGAACGGCAUCCGGAACUGUCAAGCUAGAGUGCAGGAGAGGAAGGUAGAAUUCCCGGUGUAGCGGUGAAAUGCGUAGAGAUCGGGAGGAAUACCAGUGGCGAAGGCGGCCUUCUGGACUGACACUGACACUGAGGUGCGAAAGCGUGGGUAGCAAACAGGAUUAGAUACCCUGGUAGUCCACGCCGUAAACGAUGUCGACCAGCCGUUGGGUGCCUAGCGCACUUUGUGGCGAAGUUAACGCGAUAAGUCGACCGCCUGGGGAGUACGGCCGCAAGGUUAAAACUCAAAUGAAUUGACGGGGGCCCGCACAAGCGGUGGAGCAUGUGGUUUAAUUCGAUGCAACGCGAAGACCCUUACCUACUCUUGACAUCCUGCGAAUGUGGUAGAGAUACCUUUAGUGCCGUCGGGAACGCAGAGACAGGUGCUGCAUGGCUGUCGUCAGCUCGUGUUGUGAAUGUGGGAUUAAGGUCCCGGUAACCGAGCGCAGCCGUUGGUCCCUUACUGGCAUGCGCGUAUGGCCGGUACUCGUACGAAGACGUGGCCGGUUGACCAAACCCCAG
rnacentral:rRNA from 1 species